GAUGAAGAACGCAGCGAAAUGCGAUAAGUAAUGUGAAUUGCAGAAUUCAGUGAAUCAUCGAAUCUUUGAACGCACAUUGCGCCCUCUGGUAUUCCGGGGGGCAUGCCUGUUCGAGCGUCAUUAUAACCACUCAAGCUCUCGCUUGGUAUUGGGGUUCGCGGUUUCGCGGCCCCUAAAAUCAGUGGCGGUGCCUGUCGGCUCUACGCGUAGUAAUACUUUUCGCGAUUGAGUUCGAUAGGUCUACUUGCCAGUAACCCCCAAUUUUUACAGGUUGACCUCGGAUCAGGUAGGGAUACCCGCUGAACUUAAGCAUAUCAAUAAGCGGAGGA
rnacentral:misc_RNA from 1 species